AUUGAACGCUGGCGGCAGGCCUAACACAUGCAAGUCGAAUGGUAACAGGAAACAGCUUGCUGUUUCGCUGACGAGUGGCGGACGGGUGAGUAAUGUCUGGGAAACUGCCUGAUGGAGGGGGAUAACUACUGGAAACGGUAGCUAAUACCGCAUAACGUCGCAAGACCAAAGAGGGGGACCUUCGGGCCUCUUGCCAUCAGAUGUGCCCAGAUGGGAUUAGCUAGUAGGUGGGGUAACGGCUCACCCAGGCGACGAUCCCUAGCUGGUCUGCGAGGAUGACCGGCCCCACGGGAACUGACACACGGGCCAGCCUCCUAGGGGGGGCAGCAGGGGGGAAUUUUGCACAAGGGGCGAAAGCCUGAGGAAGCCAGGCCGGGGGUAUGAAGAAGGCCUGUGGGUGUUAAAGUCCUUUAAGGGGGGAGGAAGGGAGUAAAGUUAAUCCCUUUGCUCUUGGCCGUUCCCCGGAAAAGAAGCACCGGCAAACUCCGG
rnacentral:rRNA from 1 species